GAGGAGAAACAAGAGCGACAGCUGUACACUGGAAGCCACAGCUAGAAGGGCAAGCAAGGGAAAAUAUGACAGAGUGGUUAUAACAGCCACGACCCACAAAGACAUGUGACACCGUGUAUACAUCUGUCGCUUGUCACAUAUCCCUGUCAUGGCAUUAAUGAGAGCUGAGAAACUUCUAGGUCUGGGUUUACAAGAAAGGAUCCAGUGUGUAAGGUAGAAGCUGUGCCUGUGAACAUGGUGACUACAGUCUAGGAAGUCACACCCUGUCCAUGUCCAAAUCAUGUGCCUCCUGCCAGGGGACGACCCUCAUCAUCAACCUGUCCUCAGUGCUGAAGGAUGAGACUGUCUGGGAGAAGCCCCUCCGCUUCCACCCUGAACACUUCCUGGAUGCCCAGGGCAACUUUGUGAAGCAUGAGGCCUUCAUGCCAUUCUCAGCAGGCCGCAGAGCAUGCCUGGGGGAGCCCCUGGCCCGCAUGGAGCUCUUCCUCUUCUUCACCUGCCUCCUGCAGCGCUUCAGCUUCUCCGUGCCCGCUGGGCAGCCCCGGCCCAGCAACUAUGGCGUCUUUGGUGCUCUGACCACCCCGCGCCCCUACCAGCUCUGUGCUUCACCCCGCUAAGGGGAGGCACAGCAUCUCACUCACUGUGCUUGCUGGGGUCCUAGUGUGCAAUAAAUGGUUUUACUCUGAA
rnacentral:lncRNA from 1 species